AAACACGACGUCACCUUGUCCGGUUCCCAGUGGAGAUGAGAGCUCAGAAAAUUCUGGUAAUGUUGCAGUUUUCCCUUAUUUGAGGUCUGUACAGCAAAACUGGAUAUCACUUAAGGCAAAGAAGAAAAUUAGAGAGUACUGAAAGCGUACAGCCUGGCUAAACCAAACCAAAAUGACUCAGCAGCUACAGAAGGGGUGGAGAGUUAAGAAAUAACUGCAUAUAUUACUGAAUUCAUAUACCUUCUCAACAAAUACUUUUCUAUAGCCCUGGGGACUGUGUGCUCUAAACUCUCGCACAGAGGAGACACUUGGCUCUUGCCCCAUGUCCCUUGGGAUGGACUUUGGAAAGACUGGCUGAACCUGACUGACCAUAAUAGGGAAGAUGAUGCCAACUAAGAAGAUAUUUACACUGCAGUCCAAAGCUUUUAGAAGAGUUUUGCUCGCUCUCACCUCUAAUCUACUUGGGAAAAGAGCUCCUUGUAAGAGAUCAAUUUUUACCCUGAAAAUUGCACAUCUCAGCUGCCUAUUAAGUAUCGAUAGAUCCAGGUGUUCAACAAACAGUUAGGAUCUAAGCUGUACUCUAAAAAAAAUAAAAUAAAAAAAUUACUGGAGUGGA